GGAUGUGAAGGUGAUCUGGCUGCGACAUCUGUCACCCCAUUGAUCGCCAGGGUUGAUUCAGCUGAUCUGGCUGGCUAGGUGGGUGUCCCCUUCCUCCCUCACCACUCCAUGUGCGUCCCUCCCGAAGCUGCAUGCUCGGUUGAAGAGGACCACCUUCCCUGACAGAAGGACCAUCCUUCGGUCAAGGGCAUAUGAGUAGCUGCACUCCCCUGCUAGAACCUCCAAACAAAUCUCAAGAGAACCCCAGCUGAACUAUGGGGAGCACUCCUUAGAGAGAAAGUCAGCAAAGACUACCAAGAAGAAACAGGCAACAGGGU
rnacentral:snRNA from 1 species